rnacentral:rRNA from 1 species
CGGUAAUACGUAGGGGCGCAAGCGUUUGUUCGGAAUUAUUGGGCGUAAAGAGCUCGUAGGCGGUUUUGUCGCGUCUGCUGUGAAAACUCGAGGCUCAAACCUCGGGCUUGCAGUGGGGUACGGGCAGACUAGAGUGCGGUAGGGGAGACCCCCAACUCUCCUGUGUGUAGCGGUGGAAUGCGCAGAUAUCAGGNNGGAACANNNNAUGGCGAAGGCAGGUCUCUNNNNNNNNNCUGACGCUGAGGAGCGAAAGCAUGGGGAGCGAACAGGAUUAGAUACCCUGGUAGUNCAUGCCGUAAACGUUGGGCACUAGGUGUGGGGCUCAUUCCACGAGUUCCGUGCCGCAGCAAACGCAUUAAGUGCCCCGCCUGGGGAGUACGGCCGCAAGGCUAAAACUCAAAGAAAUUGACGGGGGCCGCACAAGCGGCGGAGCAUGCGGAUUAAUUCGAUGCAACGCGAAGAACCUUACCAAGGCUUGACAUACACCGGAAACUUCCAGAGAUGGUUGCCCCGCAAGGUCGGUGUACAGGUGGUGCAUGGUUGUCGUCAGCUCGUGUCGUGAGAUGUUGGGUUAAGUCCCGCAACGAGCGCAACCCUCGUCCUAUGUUGCCAGCGGGUCAUGCCGGGGACUCAUAGGAGACUGCCGGGGUCAACUCGGAGGAAGGCGG